AUAUUGUUUUGAAAGAUGGACGAGGACAUUGCUUAAUCACAAAUUCUUAAGUUUUAUACUCACAAAUUAAGCAACAACAUCCACAUUGUGGAGGUGUUUAGCCCGUAGGCGUAUUUCUCAAUAUGAAUCGGGCAUACCUUAAACAACGGCGUUUUAGGUAUCUUUAAAAGAUUCACCUGGAUC
rfam:Drosophila melanogaster chromosome 3R.